GAUGGCUGCAAUGCACUUGAAGCAUUUCAGUUGGGGGCUCAGUUGUAUACCAGCAGACUGCAUUUUUGCUACUAAUCUGCAGAAAACAAGCUGGAGAGGAAGCAGUAUUGAGACUGGAAAUUCAGGCACCUGGCCUAAGCCUUAUGGAGAGGGGCAGCUGGGUGUAGCUCUGCAUGAGCCAACUCCCUUCCAUGCACCAGCGAGAGGGACCCACUAGACAUUUGGACACAAAGGACUUCCCUCCAUCAUCAUGGUGCUGCGUCAGUGGUCAGCUAUUACAGAUGUUGGAUAAAAACCGUGCACAGGUAAAAAAAAACCCUUGAAAGGGAAAACCUCGGUGAGAUCAUGUUACAGAAAUACAAGAAAGGUGAACCCCAGUUUUCAAUCAGAUGUUCUGUGCCAACAAGAGGUUUCUGACUGUGCAGCUUCAGGUCACAGCCUGGAACAAGCCACGUGGCGAUGGAUGCCCCUCGACCCCAAUCAGACUGAUAUUGGGAAUAAAUAAAACAACCCUGUGAUUUUAACUGCAAGCAAGCACAUCAACUCCACUUCACUCAGGCUAUUUAAU